GGUUGUAAAGCACUUUCAGCGAGGAAGAACGCCUAGCGGUUAAUACCCGCUAGGAAAGACAUCACUCGCAGAAGAAGCACCGGCUAACUCCGUGCCAGCAGCCGCGGUAAUACGGAGGGUGCAAGCGUUAAUCGGAAUUACUGGGCGUAAAGCGCGCGUAGGUGGCUUGAUAAGCCGGUUGUGAAAGCCCCGGGCUCAACCUGGGAACGGCAUCCGGAACUGUCAAGCUAGAGUGCAGGAGAGGAAGGUAGAAUUCCCGGUGUAGCGGUGAAAUGCGUAGAGAUCGGGAGGAAUACCAGUGGCGAAGGCGGCCUUCUGGACUGACACUGACACUGAGGUGCGAAAGCGUGGGUAGCAAACAGGAUUAGAUACCCUGGUAGUCCACGCCGUAAACGAUGUCGACCAGCCGUUGGGUGCCUAGCGCACUUUGUGGCGAAGUUAACGCGAUAAGUCGACCGCCUGGGGAGUACGGCCGCAAGGUUAAAACUCAAAUGAAUUGACGGGGGCCCGCACAAGCGGUGGAGCAUGUGGUUUAAUUCGAUGCAACGCGAAGAACCUUACCUACUCUUGACAUCCUGCGAAUUUGGUAGAGAUACCUUAGUGCCUUCGGGAACGCAGAGACAGGUGCUGCAUGGCUGUCGUCAGCUCGUGUUGUGAAAUGUUGGGUUAAGUCCCGUAACGAGCGCAACCCUUGUCCUUAUUUGCCAGCGCGUAAUGGCGGGAACUCUAAGGAGACUGCCGGUGACAAACCGGAGGAAGGUGGGGACGACGUCAAGUCAUCAUGGCCCUUACGAGUAGGGCUACACACGUGCUACAAUGGUCGGUACAAAGGGUUGCCAACUCGCGAGAGUGAGCCAAUCCCGAAAAGCCGAUCUCAGUCCGGAUCGGAGUCUGCAACUCGACUCCGUGAAGUCGGAAUCGCUAGUAAUCGUGGAUCAGAAUGCCACGGUGAAUACGUUCCCGGGCCUUGUACACACCGCCCGUCACACCAUGGGAGUGGACUGCACCAGAAGUGGUUAGCCUAACGCAAGAGGGCG
rnacentral:rRNA from 1 species